UAAGGAAUAUUGCUCAAUGGGAGAAAUCCUGAAGCAGCAACGCCGCGUGGAGGAUGAAGGGUCUAUGACUUGUAAACUCCUGUAAAGAAGGAAAAAAUUCCCAUUUGAUGGGAGAUGAUGGUACUUCUGGAGUAAGCCCCGGCUAACUACGUGCCAGCAGCCGCGGUAAUACGUAGGGGGCAAGCGUUGUCCGGAUUUACUGGGUGUAAAGGGUGCGCAGGCGGUUUUGUAAGACAGAUGUGAAAUCCCCGGGCUUAACCUGGGAACUGCGUUUGUGACUGCAAGGCUGGAGUACGGCAGAGGGGGGUGGAAUUCCACGUGUAGCAGUGAAAUGCGUAGAGAUGUGGAGGAACACCGAUGGCGAAGGCAGCCCCCUGGGCCUGUACUGACGCUCAUGCACGAAAGCGUGGGGAGCAAACA
rnacentral:rRNA from 1 species